rnacentral:rRNA from 1 species
AUGGAUCUUGGUGAAACCGUAGGAAAAUUUUUGUUUUCUGCAACGUUCCCCAACAUCUUCGUCACGUGCGACCCUGCUAAUGUCCGGCACAUCUUCACGACCAACUACACCAACUUCCCCAAGGGUGUUGAGUUCGCUGCCAUUUUCGACGCCAUGGGUGGCAGCCUCUUCACUGUCGAUGGCGAAGACGCUGCAACCCAGCGUGGCAAAUUGAAGAGCGUGCUUAGCAACCCACAGAUGAUUGCCAGUAUGGAGGCUUGCUGCCGCUACAAGGUGGAGAACAUCCUCCUUCCAUUGCUCGCCUACAUGGCGAGCACCGACGCUCCUUUUGACAUGCAAGAACUGAUGUCGAGGUUUAUGUUUGACCUGGCUACUAUGUUUCUCUUUGGUGUGGAUCCUGGCCUCCUAUCAUUAGACAAACCACCCAUGGACGUCGUGGUUGCUCUGGACACAGUCAUGGAGGUAGGAUUUUUCCGGCACGCCAUGCCAACCUCUUGCUGGAAAUUAAUGAGGUAG